rnacentral:tRNA from 1 species
UCCCUGGAGGUCCAGGGGUUAAGACUCUGAACUUUCAAUGCAGGGGACCUGGGUUCAAUCCCUGGUCAGGGAA